rnacentral:rRNA from 1 species
UACGUAGGGUGCGAGCGUUAAUCGGAAUUACUGGGCGUAAAGCGUGCGCAGGCGGUUUUGUAAGCCGGAUGUGAAAUCCCCGGGCUUAACCUGGGAAUGGCAUUCGGGACUGCAAGGCUGGAGUGCGGCAGAGGAGACUGGAAUUCCUGGUGUAGCAGUGAAACGCGUAGAUAUCAGGAGGAACACCGAUGGCGAAGGCAGGUCUCUGGGCUGACACUGACGCUCAUGCACGAAAGCGUGGGGAGCAAACGGG